rnacentral:rRNA from 1 species
UACGGAGGAUGCAAGCGUUAUCCGGAUUCAUUGGGUUUAAAGGGUGCGUAGGCGGAAGAAUAAGUCAGUGGUGAAAGCCUGCGGCUUAACCGUAGAAUUGCCAUUGAUACUGUUUUUCUUGAGUAUAGUUGAAGUGGGCGGAAUGUGUAAUGUAGCGGUGAAAUGCUUAGAUAUUACACAGAACACCAAUUGCGAAGGCAGCUCACUAAGCUGUUACUGACGCUGAGGCACGAAAGCGUGGGGAGCAAACAGGAUUAGAAACCCCCGUAGUCC